GAUGAACGCUAGCGGCAGGCUUAAUACAUGCAAGUCGAGGGGCAGCAGGACUGUAGCAAUACAGUUGCUGGCGACCGGCAAACGGGUGCGGAACACGUACGCAACCUUCCUUUAAGUGAGGAAUAGCCCAGGGAAACUUGGAUUAAUACCUCGUAAUCUUUGAGAGUGGCAUCACUCUUUAAUUAAAGUUCUGGCGCUGAAGGAUGAGCGUGUGUCUGAUUAGCUAGUUGGUAGGGUAACGGCCUACCAAGGCGACGAUCAGUAGGGGGCGUGAGAGCGUGACCCCCCACACGGGUACUGAGACACGGACCCGACUCCUACGGGAGGCAGCAGUAAGGAAUAUUGGGCAAUGGAGGCAACUCUGACCCAGCCAUCCCGCGUGAGGGAUUAAGGCCCUAUGGGUUGUAAACUUCUUUUGUUUGGGAAGAAAUCAGGACAUUUAUGUGCUGUUGACGGUACCUUACGAAUAAGCACCGGCUAACUCCGUGCCAGCAGCCGCCGUAACAC
rnacentral:rRNA from 1 species